UACGUAGGGUGCAAGCGUUGUCCGGAAUUAUUGGGCGUAAAGAGCUCGUAGGCGGUUUGUCGCGUCUGCUGUGAAAACGCGAGGCUCAACCUCGCGCCUGCAGUGGGUACGGGCAGACUAGAGUGCGGUAGGGGAGAUUGGAAUUCCUGGUGUAGCGGUGGAAUGCGCAGAUAUCAGGAGGAACACCGGUGGCGAAGGCGGGUCUCUGGGCAGUAACUGACGCUGAGGAGCGAAAGCGUGGGGAGCGAACAGG
rnacentral:rRNA from 1 species